UUUUUUUUUUUUUUAAUUUCUGGUGAUUCCUAAUCCCUUCUCUCUGUCCUAGAGAGAUGGUGGCUGUCACGUCACCAGGAGGGGAACUAUGACUCUCAGGUCAAGCAAGACUCACGCAGUUUUGCCUAGUAUGCAAUGUUGUAGGAAUAGGGUACUGUACACAGGAUGUGACCUCAGCCCAGGGCACAAGCACUGGGGAUGGAGAAGAGCAAUGCAGAAAUCUUGAGGAGACUGAGGUGAUCUGAAAGGAGCUGCUGAGAUGAAGACAGCUGGGGUCAACAGUGCUGUUCCCUUUGUACCUCGAGGGAACAAAGCCGGGGACUGAGUGGAGGGUAAGCAUCCCCACAGCCAGCUUCCAGCCUUCACCACCCAGGGGUCCUACAUGGAGAAUCAUCAUGUCCUCUCCAGUCCAGCUCUGGUCACUACCCUGUCCCUCCCUGGGGACUUACCGAGUCUGUCUCCUUCCUCAUCAUCUCCUUCCACACAAUCAAGCAGUGCUUGGUCUGUUACCGCACAAGCAAAGGCGGCCAUCUCUGCAACGUGGCUUCUACAGUUCACUUCAUAGCUGCAAGUCUUGGUGGAAGCCCAUGGAGUAAACACAGCUUUUUCGUACCACCAUCUCCAACCUCUCUCAGCAGAGCUGUUCACUGAGCUGCUAGGAGCCAUCUGUCCUGGUCAGAAACUGCCCAUGGUUAGGUAGUCGCAGUAACCGCCAGCAUCCAGCUUCUUCCCAGGGUUAGCCUGUCACAAGCCUCAGAGGAACCCCAUUCCUUCCUUUGACGCAUGCUUACUUACUGUGACACUUACCUGGUGGGGUGUCAAGAGUUACACGACAGUGAGGCCUGGAGCCCAGGCCAGGCUUCUGCGGUCGGGAUUGACCCUUAGUUCUUGGUUCUAACUUGGCCCUUCCUGGUGCUCCGAGUUAUUAGAAUCCAGGUUCACCACUGGUUAGAGCCACCCUGACAGCCGCUGCUGCAGAGUUGGGAGAGGACUCCGUCAGUAAGACACUUGGAUCACAGUCCUGGUGGCUGAUGGUCUCUGGGGCGCACUAGUCCCUGGGGGACUUCUGUGCCAGAGGCACACGGCAUUCCCAAAGGUCACACCUGAAGCUGUCCAGAGGUCUCCACACAUAUGGAACUAAAAAGCAAAAAAACCGGCUUUCUCCACAUUUGGCCUAGUAAGCCUUGUGGGGCAGGACCAGGGCGGGGUCAGUGAUGAAUCUCAGACUUAGGUGCCAGCACUUAAAGUGACGGUAGGGCUGUUUUACCUUCCAGGGGGGGUCUCCAUCUGCCAUUGCAUAGCCUCACUGUACUUGUGAGGAGUUGUUUCUAAGUUCAUCCCCAGAGUUGUCUGUUUUCACACAGGAAUGAUUCCACAAUUACUUUUUUUGUCAUAUGCUCCUAACAAUGGAGUUUCUCCUCAUGACUGAAGCAUAAACGCAGUGUUGGAAAUGCACGGCUGCUCACUCGUGGCCUCUUCUGUCUCCUCCCCACCGAGAUGAUGGUUGGUGAAGUUUUUCCUUAACUUGUAGAUUUAAAAAGCUUUUAAAUAGUGUUUGGAUGUGUUCCUCAGCUCUUCAGGGCCUGGACAUGUGGCCCAGGACACCUUCUGGUGCGCAUGCUGGUGACUGCAAGGUGGCCUCUGGCUUAGACAUGGUGCGGGCCCAAGUGUUCGUGAGCCGUGUUCUCACGCGACAGGAGAAGUUCGGGUCUGCAGCUCGCUCGCAGUUGCCAGUUUGCUAGCCAGAGCUACACUGCACUGUGAAGAGAAUUGUCCUCCCCUUCCACCCCCUCAACACGGGGCAUCAGAGUUCUGCUCGGGGGUGGGAAGCUUUGCCGUGUGCUUCUCUGCAUCGGGCCAAGGGUCUCUGGUACCGGUCAGGGGCGUCCUCCGAUGCCUCGGUUCCAGCCCCUUUUACUGAUGGGGAGGGAUUCUUGCUUUCAGCCGUCUGGUUCCACGCUUUGCAGAGGUUCCUUCCCACACGCUUGGCUUCCUGAUUUGGUAAUGAUGUCAUCUGACGUGCGACCUACACUUAAACAGCACUUGCUAAUAUUUUCCAAAGAUGAUUUUCCUGAAGGUUUCUAACUUCAGCCUUUAAAAAUCGGCACUUUGUUCAAGUGGGACUUGCACAGUGCUGACGUCAUCGUCCCUGCUGUCUCCACCCCAGUUGUGGCCGAACCUUUCUGACUCAUCCUCCAGCACCCAUGGCUGGUCCCCAGACACCCACUCUUGGUUCUGCCCCUUUCUCUCCUCAUCGGCUGGGAUGCUUCUCUUCCCAGCUUCCUUCCAGCAAGGGAGGUCCUGUGAGCUGUGGCUCGGGAGAGCCGAGGACAUGAGGUGCGGAAGGUCCUCUCUUCCUGCCCGGAAUGGGGUAGGACCCUGAGGGUGCAAAAACACCUGUGACAAACAGGACUGGAGUGAGCGCACAUCUGUUAGACAGGGGGCCCUGCCUCAAGCCUUGGAUGGUCAACUGCUGGGGUUUUUUGUUUUUUUUUUGGGGGGGGUGUUUUUUUUUUGUCUUGUGUGUGUGAAAGAAAUAAAUCCCUAUUUGUUCAAA
ensembl:lncRNA